GUUGAACUCGAGCGCCACGCAUUCUACGUAGCUGACGGACCGCAUCCCACCACCGACCAUAGAGGCGGACCUCCUCUAGCUCGCGGCAAGGCACACUGUCCGCGCUACGACAGUGGAGACGCUAAGGCGGCCGUACGGGUAUAGCGCCACUCGGAGGCUAGCGCAGAGGAGGAGGCGGGGUUGUCUCAUGACUUCUGAGUGCCUGCAGCAGAUGACGCUAACGCCUCAGAACCGCGGCAUGGCCCAGCCUGGCUCUGGAAAGCCGUGGGGCAACCAGGAAGGCUGGGGAGAAGGAAGGGCCAGUCCAGGUUCAUGCUCUUGAUUUGAAUCUACGGAUUUGUUUAAAAAUGCAUCUUUUUAAUACUGACAUGGCUGAUCUCUGUCAAGUAUCAGAGCAGCAGUCAGGGCUGUUAAGUGCACAGCUGUCUACCUUGACUUCCCAUGUAGCUUCAGGCAAAUCAUUUAAUAACUGUUUCCCUCUGUCAAAUGUGAAUGACUAAGGCAUACACUGAUGAGUUGCCUCUUCACAGGUUGCAUAACCAAAGUGGUCAGUGGCACAACAGAAAAACAAAGUGCUUAUGGCAGUGUUACCUAGUUUGAUACAGAAGCACGGGUCUUGGAAAGCGUAUUAUCCUUUUUUUUUGCCAAAUUGGAAAAAUGUUUCCAAAAAUCCUUAGAAGCAUAUAAAUUCACAUGGAACUUUCUCCCCAAGCUUUACAACAGCAGUAUAUGACUGUGCAAACCUGGCAUCCCCAGAUUCCCCUGCUAUAGUUCAAAGUGAUAGAUUAUUUUCUUCACAUCUUAUUGAACAGGUUAGUAUAACACUCCCCUUUAGAAGUAGCUGUUUUCAUACAAGAAUACAAAAUCCACUUUUGUAUCUGAAAUGGACAGAUAAUCUAUCUGUCCUAGCUUUCUAUAAUCCUGCAGAGUAGGAAAAAAAAAUCAAAAAUCCCCACCUCUAGAGUAGAAUGGAAACUAAGGUUUGACUAGAUAACAGGAUAAACAGAGCAACAAAAUAUGAGUCCUUCCCCCCCCCCCCCCCCCCCCAAGGCAUGGAAUAAAGUACUUUGGGACAAAGCAGGAAUAUCAAUGCAGGAAUCUCCUGCAAGAUGGGGAUCACUGAACUGGCUUUUAGCAUUAGAAUCACUUAAAAGUUCAUAGUCCAUUGGGAGUUGUAAAUAUUUGUCAUAAUUUUAACUUUCUUCUUUUCUCUAAAGACAGUUACUUUCUUCUUUUCUCUAAAGACAGUUACUUUCUUCUUUUCUCUAAAGACAGUUACUUUCUUCUUUUCUCUAAAGACAGUUACUUUCUUCUUUUCUCUAAAGACAGUUACUUUCUUCUUUUCUCUAAAGACAGUUACUUUCUUCUUUUCUCUAAAGACAGUUACUUUCUUCUUUUCUCUAAAGACAGUUACUUUCUUCUUUUCUCUAAAGACAGUUACUUUCUUCUUUUCUCUAAAGACAGUUACUUUCUGUCUGAAUUCUGUUCUGAAUUAAUGGUGUUUUUAUGGUCCUGUUUUGUAACUUGGAAGAAGAGGGUAGCAAUAUAAAUAGAAAGUAAGUUCUAUGCAGAGAUUACAGACUUCUUUUUCCCCUUACACUUUCCAUCAUCCCACUUUCCUUUUGCAAAUAAAUGGGUAAAUACAGUAUAGGUGACUGUGGAAGUUUGCUACAGCAGUGAAUGAACAACAGAAAACAGAUACUGUGGCUACUGUACAGCUACAUGGAUGAGAAAACACUGAAUGACUAGAGAACAGUUUGCUUUUAAUUCUGUGCAUAUUCCAAUAAAAACACACUGUAAGUUG